rnacentral:rRNA from 1 species
UAUAUUGGACAAUGGGCGAAAGCCUGAUCCAGCCAUGUCGCGUGUGUGAAGAAGGUCUACGGAUUGUAACGCACUUUCAGUUGGGAGGAAGGGAAGCAAGUUAAGACCUUGUUGUUCUGACGCUACCGACAGAAUAAGCACGGGCUAACUCCGUUCCAGCAUCCGCGGUAAUACGAAGGGUGCAAGCGUUAAUCAGAAUUACUGGGCUUAAAGCGCGCGUAGGUUGUGUGCUAAGUUGGAAGUGAAAGCCCCGAGCUCAACCUGGGAACUGCUUUCAAAACUGGCAAGCUAGAGUAUAGCAGAGGGUAAUUGAAUAUCCAGUGUAGCGAUGAAAGGCGUAGAUGUAGGAAGGAACACCAGUGGCGAAGGCGACUACCUGGACUGAUACUGACACUGAGGUGCGAAAGCGUGGGUAGCAAAC